rnacentral:rRNA from 1 species
UGGGGAAUAUUGGACAAUGGGCGCAAGCCUGAUCCAGCCAUGCCGCGUGUGUGAAGAAGGCCUUUUGGUUGUAAAGCACUUUAAGCGAGGAGGAGGCUACUUGGAUUAAUACUCUAAGAUAGUGGACGUUACUCGCAGAAUAAGCACCGGCUAACUCUGUGCCACCAGCCGCGGUAAUACAGAGGGUGCGAGCGUUAAUCGGAUUUACUGGGCGUAAAGCGUGCGUAGGCGGCUUCUUAAGUCGGAUGUGAAAUCCCUGGGCUUAACUUAGGAAUUGCAUUCGGUACUGGGAAGCUAGAGUAUGGGAGAGGGUGGUAGAAUUCCAGGUGUAGCGGUGAAAUGCGUAGAGAUCUGGAGGAAUACCGAUGGCGAAGGCAGCCAUCUGGCCUAAUACUGACGCUGAGGUACGAAAGCAUGGGGAGCAAACAGG